GGCCGUAUAGUUUAGUAGUAUAAUGCCCGCUUUGGGUGCGGGAGGUCCUGGGUUCAAUUCCCAGUGCGGCCC
rnacentral:tRNA from 1 species